AUUAUUUUUUUAGAUUAUUUUUUAUUGUUGAAAAAAUUAAAAACAAAUUGUUUUUUACAAUAAUUAAAAUUUAUAAUAUUCAAUUUUUAAUUUUUAGUUUUAAAUAAAAAUUACAAAUAUGAAAAAUAAAAAAAUUUUGUUAUAAAUUAAAUUAAUUUAUUUAUAUUAAAAAUAUUUUUUAUAAUUUUUAUUUUUUUUUAUUUUUUUAAAAAAAAAAUAAUUUAAUUAUAAUUAUUUAUUUAAAUUUAAUAAUUAAAUAUAAAAUUUUUUAUUAAAUAAAUUUAAUAAUAAAUGUUUUUUAAAUUCUUUGAGGUUUUGAUUUUUGAUUUUUUGUUUCUGCUCAUUGUUAAAGAAAAGCACUUUUAGCGUGAUUGGUCAAAGGUA
rnacentral:rRNA from 1 species